rnacentral:rRNA from 1 species
AACGAACGCUGGCGGCGUGCUUAACACAUGCAAGUCGAACGUGAUUGAGAGCUUGCUCUCAUGAAAGUGGCGCACGGGUGAGUAACACGUGGAUAAUCUGCCUGGCGAUUCGGGAUAACACUUCGAAAGGGGUGCUAAUACCGAAUAAGCCCACAGUCCCUUCGGGGGGUGCGGGAAAAGGGGGCCUCUGUAAAUGCUCCUGUCGCUAGAUGAGUCCGCGGCCCAUUAGCUAGUUGGCAGGGUAAUGGCCUACCAAGGCAACGAUGGUUAGCUGGUCUGAGAGGAUGAUCAGCCACACUGGAACUGAGACACGGUCCAGACUCCUACGGGUGGC